rnacentral:rRNA from 1 species
AUGAUUCGUGGGACGUCCUGCCGGUGGUGGCGAGUCGGAGGCGUGCACCUGUUGUGGUUUUCCACUUCGGUUCUUGCGCGCCCGAGGCGGACCCCGAUGAAAUCCUACCGCGGUGCUCUUCACCGAGUGUCGAGGUGGGCCGGCACGUUUACUUUGAACAAAUUAGAGUGCUUAAAGCAGGCCUGUUGCGCCUGAAUACUGUGUGCAUGGAAUAAUGGAAUAGGACCUCGGUUCUAUUUUGUUGGUUUUCGGAACCCGAGGUAAUGAUUAAUAGGGACAGGCGGGGGCAUUCGUAUUGCGACGUUAGAGGUGAAAUUCUUGGAUCGUCGCAAGACGGACCGAAGCGAAAGCAUUUGCCAAGUAUGUUUUCAUUAAUCAAGAACGAAAGUUAGAGGUUCGAAGGCGAUCAGAUACCGCCCUAGUUCUAACCAUAAACGAUGCCAGCUAGCGAUCCGCCGAAGUUCCUCCGAUGACUCGGCGGGCAGCUCCCGGGAAACCAAAGCUUUUGGGUUCCGGGGGAAGUAUGGUUGCAAA